UUUGUACCAUUUUAACAGUUGGUUAGUCUAAAGAUGUAUAAUUUAAAUAAAAUUAUAAACAAAUAAUGCAUAUCUUGGGCAUCGUUGCAAUUAAGUCACCUGCUGAGGAUCAAAGUCACAGAGGGAAAGUAUACAAAAUUACCUACACAGGGUUUUAUGUUUUUUUAAGCUUCAAGUUUUAUUGUAACGUAUUCGGGGAACACAGAGAAAUUCAUUUGCCACAGUUGCAGUGAUGGGUAUUUGCGUGUACCUUCGCUUGUACCUCCGCUUGCAGAUCCAUUCCUUUUGUAUCGUUCAAGAGCAGGAUGUUGGGGGCUGCUGCCACCAUUGAUGCUGUUUUUCUUUGAUAUGUCAGUUAGUCGUGGCCACAGAGGUUUGCUGACAUUGAUCUGCAGGCGAGAAUGUUGUGAUUGUUUGAGGCAGGAUCCGCGGAAAGCAGCUGAACAAGGUAGUAAUUAAAUCAGAACCGAAAUGUAGGGUCCGCUGGCAGCCGAUGGACUGACACACGCAGCUGCAUCGUCUAGAGUCGAGGGAUCCGGGACAUUUGGUUCUGUGCAGGAAGCUGCAGGUCUCUCCCACAGGCUGCCAUGGUAGCCCACGACCGCCGGGACCCGCUGGCCUUGCCUGACAGCCCGUGGGCUCCCAGGACUCCCUGCCAACAUUCCACUAUAACCUGAUGAGGGGCAAAGUUGAUGAGCACUCAGAUGAAACAAUGGGGGCCUUUGUGUGUCUGAUGGUGGUUCGGGGGCCUGAACUGGGAAAUGGGGAGCAGGGAGGUUUAAUGUAGCGGAGAUGUCAAAGCUUCAAACCGGCCAGAAUCUGGCCUGAGGCCUGGCACACCCAGAGCGGGCAGAAACAUCUUAACAAACUGCUAUUAUAAUAAUAAAGACGUUUUGACCGAAAAGCACAAUGUGAUAUAAUCAUGUGUGGUUUGGUUUCAGGUGACACAAAACCCAUUGUGUGAAAAGCACAACAGUGUUUUUCUUGACU